GAUAAACGCUGGCGGCGUGCUUAACACAUGCAAGUCGAACGAAGUUUUUCCUUCGGGAGCAACUUAGUGGCGGACGGGGGAGUAACGCGUGGGUAACCUGCCCUGUACAGGGGGACAACAGCUGGAAACGGCUGCUAAGACCGCAUAAGCCCUUAGCACUGCAUGGUGCAUAGGGAAAAGGAGCAAUCCUGCACAGGAGGGACCCGCGUCUGAUUAGCCAGUUGGCAGGGUAACGGCCUACCAAAGCGACGAUCAGUAGCCGAUCUGAGAGGAUGUACGGCCACAUUGGGACUGAGACACGGCCCAGACUCCUACGGGAGGCAGCAGUGGGGAAUAUUGCACAAUGGAGGAAACUCUGAUGCAGCGACGCCGCGUGAGUGAAGAAGUAUUUAGGUAUGUAAAGCUCUAUCAGCAGGGAAGAAAAUGACGGUACCUGACUAAGAAGCACCGGCUAAAUACGUG
rnacentral:rRNA from 1 species